UAGAAUUUCUAGCCACUGCUUGAUUGUAUUGUAUGAUACCAACUUUUUGUGCCUAUGAAUUCCCAGCAAGUUCUACACACCAAGGACGGCAUUAACUCACCUAUAUGCUUGCAGGCAGCAUUUGCCCUUUGAUCAAAGCUUGCAAAGAUACUCAUGAGAGAUAUCUUCCAAAACUGCUUCAGAGAGAUUAAAGUCAGAGCCAGCAGAGAGACAUUGAAGACUUCAGUAGAGCUCACCAAAACCUUCGCAGAGCAGCCUGAUCCCCGGCGAAACUAUUCAG